UGUGUGUGUGUGUGUGUGUGUGUGUUAUCCUGGUGUGAAGCACAGCAGGCUUUUCUUCUUUGCUGCUCUGAUCUAAAAGGAGCUGUGACUAAUUGUGGCCAGGUCUUUCUAGUGUAGAAAGGCUGCUUUAGGCCCUCUGCUUCUUUUCUAUUGGUUGCAAGGAGACAUUCUGGUGCUCACGAUGGCCAAAGGUUGUAGAAAAUUUCCUUGAUACUCUCUGAAACAUGGACAUCAAGAGAAAGAUUGCAGGGCUGGGUUUCUGUAUUAAGGUGAGGGAGGUCUGCAGUCUUCAGUCCUCCAGCUGUGCCUUGGGCAGCAAAACACAGCCAUUAUCUCAGCAGGCUUGUGAGGGAGACUUCAGCAGAAGCUAUUCAUGCGUUGAGGAAACUCUGAACGGCCUUACAGGCCACGCCCAGCCGCCCCAGCCGCCCCAGCCAAGCAGGAAGCUGUGUACAGCACAGUGACGGUGUUGUCCUGGGGACAUAGACAGCAGCGUCACAGGCAGAUCCACCUACGAGGGACAGGGCACCUCUCAACCCAGAGGUCAGAGUCUGGAACAGACAGAUGCCUUGUUCCUGCUCUGUCCCUGCCAUGGGUCCCAGGCUUCUCUACUGUGUGGCCCUUGGUCUCCUUGGAGCAGGUCACAUGGGUGCCAUGGUCACUCAGAACCCAAGAUACCAGGUUACCAGACGGGGCGCACCUGUGAACCUGAGUUGUUUUCAGAAUAUGAAUCAUGAUGCUAUGUACUGGUACCAACAGAAGCCGAGCCAAGCACCAAAACUGCUGAUUUACUACUAUGAUGAGGAUUUUAACAGUGAGAAAGACACCUCGGAUAACUUCAAAGGCAGCCGGCCUAACACCUCUUUCUGUUCCCUUGGCAUCCGCUUGCCAGACCUGGGGGACUCAGCCGUGUAUCUCUGUGCCAGCAGCAGAGACACAGAGCUGAAACCUUGCCUCUCUUCUGCUCAUAAACCUGUUUCCCAGAUCCGAUAGCCUCCUGCAGACCCCCCCCCCCCCAACCAUGAAAGGAAGUGGGUUUAUGGCUCUCAUGAUCUCUGCUGUAGAAAGAAGUUGGGCCUCAACCUACAAAGCCUAUUGACAGUUAGGCCAAGAGUCAAAAAGUGGUUAUUCUUACCCGACCUUUAGUUUGUGGUAAUUUCCCAGAAUCACCUUAAUCAACCGUUCUCUUUCUUCAAUAGAUCCAUAGGAACUUUUUUCUUAGGUUAUUUAUUUUUUUCUUUUCCAAAUCUAAGUUGGAGACUUAGAAAUAUGUUAAAAGGCAGGCCCAGGCAAGAGGUCACCCCACUUUCCUGAAUGUCUUGUUCUUAAGAAAGUGCCUCCAGGAGUUUCCUGCCCUGGCUCAGUGAUUAAUGAACCCAAUUAGUAUCCAUG